AACGGGGGAUCACUUGGCUCGUGCGUCGAGGAAGAAC
rnacentral:rRNA from 1 species